UACAGAGGUCCCAAGCGUUGUUCGGAUUCACUGGGCGUAAAGGGUGCGUAGGCGGUCGGGUAAGUCUGAUGUGAAAUCUCACAGCUUAACUGUGAAACUGCAUUGGAUACUAUCCGGCUAGAGGAAUGGAGGGGAGACUGGAAUACUUGGUGUAGCAGUGAAAUGCGUAGAUAUCAAGUGGAACACCAGUGGCGAAGGCGAGUCUCUGGACAUUUCCUGACGCUGAGGCACGAAAGCCAGGGGGGCAAACGGG
rnacentral:rRNA from 1 species